UGAGGAAUAUUGGUCAAUGGACGCAAGUCUGAACCAGCCAUGCCGCGUGCAGGAUGAAGGCCUUCUGGGUUGUAAACUGCUUUUAUCAGGGAAGAAACCACAGAUUUCUAUUUGUGCCGACGGUACCUGAGGAAUAAGCACCGGCUAACUCCGUGCCAGCAGCCGCGGUAAUACGGAGGGUGCAAGCGUUAUCCGGAUUCACUGGGUUUAAAGGGUGUGUAGGCGGGCUUGUAAGUCCGAGGUGAAAUCUCCGAGCUCAACUUGGAAACUGCCUUGGAUACUAUAGGUCUUGAAUAUCGUUGAGGUAGGCGGAAUAUGUCAUGUAGCGGUGAAAUGCUUAGAUAUGACAUAGAACACCGAUUGCGAAGGCAGCUUGCUAAACGAUUAUUGACGCUGAGGCACGAAAGCGUGGGGAUCAAACAGG
rnacentral:rRNA from 1 species